CAGGCUUAACACAUGCAAGUCGAGGGGCAGCAUGGUCUUAGCUUGCUAAGGCCGAUGGCGACCGGCGCACGGGUGAGUAACGCGUAUCCAACCUGCCUUACACUCUUGGACAGCCUUCUGAAAGGGAGAUUAAUACAAGAUGUUAUCAUGAGUAAGCAUUUUCGCAUGAUUAAAGGUUUACCGGUGUAAGAUGGGGAUGCGUUCCAUUAGAUAGUAGGCGGGGUAACGGCCCACCUAGUCUUCGAUGGAUAGGGGUUCUGAGAGGAAGGUCCCCCACAUUGGAACUGAGACACGGUCCAAACUCCUACGGGAGGCAGCAGUGAGGAAUAUUGGUCAAUGGACGAGAGUCUGAGCCAGCCAAGUAGCGUGAAGGAUGAAGGUUCUAUGGAUUGUAAACUUCUUUUAUACGGGAAUAAACGAAUCCACGUGUGGAUUUUUGCAUGUACCGUAUGAAUAAGGAUCGGCUAACUCCGUGCCAGCAGCCGCGGUAAUACGGAGGAUCCGAGCGUUAUCCGGAUUUAUUGGGUUUAAAGGGAGCGUAGAUGGGUUGUUAAGUCAGUUGUGAAAGUUUGCGGCUCAACCGUAAAAUUGCAAUUGAUACUGGCAGUCUUGAGUACAGUUGAGGUAGGCGGAAUUCGUGGUGUAGGGGUGAAAUGCUUAGAUAUCACGAAGAACUCCGAUUGCGAAGGCAGCUUACUAACCUGUAACUGACAUUGAUGCUCGAAAGUGUGGGUAUCAAACAGGAUUAGAUACCCUGGUAGUCCACACGGUAAACGAUGAAUACUCGCUGUAGGCGAUAUACAGUCUGCGGCCAAGAGAAAGCAUUAAGUAUUCCACCUGGGGAGUACGCCGGCAACGGUGAAACUCAAAGGAAUUGACGGGGGCCCGCACAAGCGGAGGAACAUGUGGUUUAAUUCGAUGAUACGCGAGGAACCUUACCCGGGCUUAAAUUGCAACCGAAUAUGGCGGAAACGCUAUAGCUAGCAAUAGCGGUUGUGAAGGUGCUGCAUGGUUGUCGUCAGCUCGUGCCGUGAGGUGUCGGCUUAAGUGCCAUAACGAGCGCAACCCUUGCCGAUAGUUACUAACAGGUCAUGCUGAGGACUCUGUCGGGACUGCCAUCGUAAGAUGUGAGGAAGGUGGGGAUGACGUCAAAUCAGCACGGCCCUUACGUCCGGGGCUACACACGUGUUACAAUGGGGGGUACGGAGGGCUGCUACCACGCAAGUGGAUGCCAAUCCCAAAAACCUCUCUCAGUUCGGAUUGAAGUCUGCAACCCGACUUCAUGAAGCUGGAUUCGCUAGUAAUCGCGCAUCAGCCACGGCGCGGUGAAUACGUUCCCGGGCCUUGUACACACCGCCCGUCAAGCCAUGGGAGCCGGGGGUACCUGAAGUGCGUAACCGCAAGGAGCGCCCUAGGGUAAAACUGGUGACUGGGGC
rnacentral:rRNA from 1 species